AACGAACGCUAGCGGCAGGCUUAACACAUGCAAGUCGAACGUGAAGCUGGAGCUUGCUCCAGUGGAAAGUGGCAGACGGGUGAGUAACGCGUGGGAAUUUACCCAGUGGUUCGGAAUAACUUCAGGAAACCGGAGCUAAUACCGAAUACGCCCUUCGGGGGAAAGAUUUAUCGCCAUUGGAUAAGCCCGCGUCGGAUUAGCUUGUUGGUGAGGUAAAAGCUCACCAAGGCGACGAUCCGUAGCUGGUCUGAGAGGAUGAUCAGCCACACUGGGACUGAGACACGGCCCAGACUCCUACGGGAGGCAGCAGUGGGGAAUAUUGCGCAAUGGAGGAAACUCUGACGCAGCCAUGCCGCGUGAGUGAAGAAGGCCUUAGGGUUGUAAAACUCUUUCGCUAGGGAAGAUAAUGACGGUACCUAGUAAAGAAGCCCCGCCAACU
rnacentral:rRNA from 1 species